rnacentral:tRNA from 17 species
CCCCUGGUCGUCUAGUUGGUUUAAGGCGCUCGGCUGUAAACCGAGAAAUCGCUGGUUCGACUCCAGCCCAGGGGA